GGAGGCAGUAAACAGUUUUGAGCCGUUAGUGUCGAAUUGGCCGGGGUGAAAUUUACAAAUAAGAGGCAAUUUACGGAAUGAAGUGCAUAUUUGAACUUCUAAAUUAUAAUAAUUGCUAGAAUUGAAGUUUCAGCGGCUAGAAUUGAGUUUCACUUAUUUAAAAAAAAUCAGUUGAGUAGCCUUGAUCUUGAUAGUAUGACGUAAUGACUUGCAGGAGCGUAUACAUGCUUCCUUUGAGCUAGCUUAAAGUGGGGUUGUCAUUUUAGCAGGGACCUCAGGAAAACUGGAACAGUGAAGAAACGGUGUGUGGUUACAGACUUUUGUGUGAGGUUUUGAAAGUUAG